rnacentral:rRNA from 1 species
UACGAAGGGGGCUAGCGUUGCUCGGAAUUACUGGGCGUAAAGCGCACGUAGGCGGCUUUCUAAGUCGGGGGUGAAAUCCUGGAGCUCAACUCCAGAACUGCCUUCGAUACUGAGAGUCUCGAGUCCGAGAGAGGUGAGUGGAACUGCGAGUGUAGAGGUGAAAUUCGUAGAUAUCUGGAGGAACACCGGUGGCGAAGGCGGCAUCCUGGACCGACACUGACGCUGAGGAGCGAAAGCGUGGGGAGCGAACAGG